rnacentral:rRNA from 1 species
GGGAUCGCCCUUCCUACGGGAGGCAGCAGUGGGGAAUAUUGGACAAUGGGCGAAAGCCUGAUCCAGCCAUGCCGCGUGUGUGAAGAAGGUCUUCGGAUUGUAAAGCACUUUAAGUUGGGAGGAAGGGCAGUAAAUUAAUACUUUGCUGUUUUGACGUUACCGACAGAAUAAGCACCGGCUAACUCUGUGCCAGCAGCCGCGGUAAUAAGGGCGAUCC